rnacentral:rRNA from 1 species
ACAUCCACGGAAGUUUUCAGAGAUGAGAAUGUGCCUUCGGGAACCGUGAGACAGGUGCUGCAUGGCUGUCGUCAGCUCGUGUUGUGAAAUGUUGGGUUAAGUCCCGCAACGAGCGCAACCCUUAUCCUUUGUUGCCAGCGGUCCGGCCGGGAACUCAAAGGAGACUGCCAGUGAUAAACUGGAGGAAGGUGGGGAUGACGUCAAGUCAUCAUGGCCCUUACGACCAGGGCUACACACGUGCUACAAUGGCGCAUACAAAGAGAAGCGACCUCGCGAGAGCAAGCGGACCUCAUAAAGUGCGUCGUAGUCCGGAUUGGAGUCUGCAACUCGACUCCAUGAAGUCGGAAUCGCUAGUAAUCGUGGAUCAGAAUGCCACGGUGAAUACGUUCCCGGGCCUUGUACACACCGCCCGUCACACCAUGGGAGUGGGUUGCAAAAGAAGUAGGUAGCUUAACCUUCGGGAGGGCGCUUACCACUUUGUGAUUCAUGACUGGGGUGAAGUCGUAACAAGGUAAGCGUAGAUGA